CUUCCUUUAGGGGUACCUGCGGAGGGAUCAUUACCGAGUUUACAACUCCCAAACCCCUGUGAACAUACAGCCCGCUCCCGGUAAAACGGAACGGCCCGCCAGAGGACCCCUAAACUCUGUUUCUAUAUGUAACUUCUGAGUAAAACCAUAAAUAAAUCAAAACUUUCAACAACGGAUCUCUUGGUUCUGGCAUCGAUGAAGAACGCAGCAAAAUGCGAUAAGUAAUGUGAAUUGCAGAAUUCAGUGAAUCAUCGAAUCUUUGAACGCACAUUGCGCCCGCCAGUAUUCUGGCGGGCAUGCCUGUUCGAGCGUCAUUUCAACCCUCAAGCCCCCGGGUUUGGUGUUGGGGAUCGGCGAGCCUCACGGCAAGCCGGCCCCGAAAUACAGUGGCGGUCUCGCUGCAGCUUCCAUUGCGUAGUAGUAAAACCCUCGCAACUGGUACGCGGCGCGGCCAAGCCGUUAAACCCCCAACUUCUGAAUGUUGACCUCGGAUCAGGUAGGAAUACCCGCUGAACUUAAGCAUAUCAAUAGCGGAGGAA
rnacentral:rRNA from 1 species